CGCUCUUUGAGGUANUAAUGCCAUAGAUAAGGAGUCGGACCUGCCCGGUGACAUACUGUGUUAAACGGCCGCGGUACCCUGACCGUGCAAAGGUAGCAUAAUCAUUUGCCUUUUAAUUGGAGGCUGGUAUGAAUGGUUUGACGAGAGCUAAGCUGUCUCCUUUUGAAUAUUUAGAAAUUAAUUUGUAAGUGAAGAGGCUUACAUGCAUUUGAGGGACAAGAAGACCCUGUUGAGUUUGAAUGAAAAUAUAAAUGAGUUGUCUACUGAGUCGUUAGACAAAGUAAAAUGGAUUGUAUAGAUAUAGAUUGGGAUUUUUAUUUAAUUUUUGGUUGGGGCGACUGAGGGGCAUAAAAAGCGUCCUUUAGAAAUAAUGUUAUGGUCGGUGAGCCAGUUUGAUCCAGUUUUAUUGAUUANANNAAAAAAUUACCACAGGGA
rnacentral:rRNA from 1 species